rnacentral:rRNA from 1 species
UACAGAGGUCUCAAGCGUUGUUCGGAUUCAUUGGGCGUAAAGGGUGCGUAGGCGGCGCGGUAAGUCGGGUGUGAAAUCUCGGAGCUUAACUCCGAAACUGCAUUCGAUACUGCCGUGCUUGAGGACUGGAGAGGAGACUGGAAUUUACGGUGUAGCGGUGAAAUGCGUAGAUAUCGGAAGGAACGCCAGCAGCGAAAGCGGCACACUGGGCCUUUUCUGACGCUGAGGCACGAAAGCCAGGGGAGCGAACAGG